rnacentral:rRNA from 1 species
UACGUAGGCAGCGAGCGUUGUUCGGAAUUACUGGGCGUAAAGAGUGUGUAGGCGGUGCUCUAAGUUCGGUGUGAAAUCUCCCGGCUUAACUGGGAGGGUGCGCCGGAAACUGGAGUGCUUGAGCGUGGGAGAGGAAAGCGGAAUUCCUGGUGUAGCGGUGAAAUGCGUAGAUAUCAGGAGGAACACCGGUGGUGUAGACGGCUUUCUGGACCAUAGCUGACGCUGAGACACGAAAGCGUGGGUAGCAAACAGG